UACGGGGGGAGCAAGCGUUGUUCGGAUUUAUCUGGGCGUAAAGGGCGCGUAGGCGGCUGUGACAAGUCACUUGUGAAAUCUCCGGGCUUAACUCGGAACGGUCAAGUGAUACUGUCGUGGCUAGAGUACAGAAGGGGCAACUGGAAUUCUCGGUGUAGCGGUGAAAUGGCGUAGAUAUCGAAGGAGGGAACACCUGGCGGCGAAGGCGGGUUGCUGGGCUGAUACUGACGCUGGAGGCGCGAAAGCCUAGGGGAGCGAACGGG
rnacentral:rRNA from 1 species